CGAAUGCUGACAUAAGUAACGAUAAAGCGGGUGAAAAGCCCGCUCGCCGGAAGACCAAGGGUUCCUGUCCAACGUUAAUCGGGGCAGGGUGAGUCGACCCCUAAGGCGAGGCCGAAAGGCGUAGUCGAUGGGAAACAGGUUAAUAUUCCUGUACUUGGUGUUACUGCGAAGGGGGGACGGAGAAGGCUAUGUUGGCCGGGCGACGGUUGUCCCGGUUUAAGCGUGUAGGCUGGUUUUCCAGGCAAAUCCGGAAAAUCAAGGCUGAGGCGUGAUGACGAGGCACUACGGUGCUGAAGCAACAAAUGCCCUGCUUCCAGGAAAAGCCUCUAAGCAUCAGGUAACAUCAAAUCGUACCCCAAACCGACACAGGUGGUCAGGUAGAGAAUACCAAGGCGCUUGAGAGAACUCGGGUGAAGGAACUAGGCAAAAUGGUGCCGUAACUUCGGGAGAAGGCACGCUGAUAUGUAGGUGAAGCGACUUGCUCGUGGAGCUGAAAUCAGUCGAAGAUACCAGCUGGCUGCAACUGUUUAUUAAAAACACAGCACUGUGCAAACACGAAAGUGGACGUAUACGGUGUGACGCCUGCCCGGUGCCGGAAGGUUAAUUGAUGGGGUUAGCGCAAGCGAAGCUCUUGAUCGAAGCCCCGGUAAACGGCGGCCGUAACUAUAACGGUCCUAAGGUAGCGAAAUUCCUUGUCGGGUAAGUUCCGACCUGCACGAAUGGCGUAAUGAUGGCCAGGCUGUCUCCACCCGAGACUCAGUGAAAUUGAACUCGCUGUGAAGAUGCAGUGUACCCGCGGCAAGACGGAAAGACCCCGUGAACCUUUACUAUAGCUUGACACUGAACAUUGAGCCUUGAUGUGUAGGAUAGGUGGGAGGCUUUGAAGUGUGGACGCCAGUCUGCAUGGAGCCGACCUUGAAAUACCACCCUUUAAUGUUUGAUGUUCUAACGUGGACCCGUGAUCCGGGUUGCGGACAGUGUCUGGUGGGUAGUUUGACUGGGGCGGUCUCCUCCUAAAGAGUAACGGAGGAGCACGAAGGUUGGCUAAUCCUGGUCGGACAUCAGGAGGUUAGUGCAAUGGCAUAAGCCAGCUUGACUGCGAGCGUGACGGCGCGAGCAGGUGCGAAAGCAGGUCAUAGUGAUCCGGUGGUUCUGAAUGGAAGGGCCAUCGCUCAACGGAUAAAAGGUACUCCGGGGAUAACAGGCUGAUACCGCCCAAGAGUUCAUAUCGACGGCGGUGUUUGGCACCUCGAUGUCGGCUCAUCACAUCCUGGGGCUGAAGUAGGUCCCAAGGGUAUGGCUGUUCGCCAUUUAAAGUGGUACGCGAGCUGGGUUUAGAACGUCGUGAGACAGUUCGGUCCCUAUCUGCCGUGGGCGCUGGAGAACUGAGGGGGGCUGCUCCUAGUACGAGAGGACCGGAGUGGACGCAUCACUGGUGUUCGGGUUGUCAUGCCAAUGGCACUGCCCGGUAGCUAAAUGCGGAAGAGAUAAGUGCUGAAAGCAUCUAAGCACGAAACUUGCCCCGAGAUGAGUUCUCCCUGACUCCUUGAGAGUCCUGAAGGAACGUUGAAGACGACGACGUUGAUAGGCCGGGUGUGUAAGCGCAGCGAUGCGUUGAGCUAACCGGUACUAAUGAACCGUGAGGCUUAACCUU
rnacentral:rRNA from 1 species